rnacentral:rRNA from 1 species
GAUGAACGCUAGCGACAGGCCUAACACAUGCAAGUCGAGGGGCAGCACAGGUAGCAAUACUGGGUGGCGACCGGCGCACGGGUGAGUAACGCGUAUGCAACCUACCUGUAACAGGGGAAUAGCUCCCUGAAAGGGGAAUUAAAACCGCAUAAGACCACACUAUCGCAUGGUAGAGUGGUAAAAUAUUUAUAGGUUACAGAUGGGCAUGCGUGACAUUAGCCAGUUGGUGAGGUAACGGCUCACCAAAGCUACGAUGUCUAGGGGUUCUGAGAGGAAGGUCCCCCACACUGGUACUGAGACACGGACCAGACUCCUACGGGAGGCAGCAGUGAGGAAUAUUGGUCAAUGGGCGCAAGCCUGAACCAGCCAUGUCGCGUGCAGGAAGACGGCCCUACGGGUUGUAAACUGCUUUUGUACGGGAAGAAA